rnacentral:rRNA from 1 species
CCUACGGGGUGCUGCAGUGAGGAAUAUUGGUCAAUGGGCGGAAGCCUGAACCAGCCAAGUAGCGUGCGGGAUGAAGGCCCUACGGGUCGUAAACCGCUUUUGCACGGGGAUAACACCCUCCCCUUGUGGAGGUCUGCAGGUACCGUGCGAAUAAGGGCCGGCUAAUUCCGUGCACGAAGCCGCGGUAAUACGGAAGGCACGAGGGUUAUCCGGAUUCAUUGGGGUUAUAGGGAGCGUAGGCGGGCGUUCAAGUCAGCUGUAAAAUCGCGCGGCUCAACCGCGCCCCGCAGUUGAAACUGGACGCCUUGAGUUCACAACAGGCAGGCGGAAUUCGGGGUGUAGCGGUGAAAUGCAUAGAUAUCACGAGGAACCCCGAUUGCGAAGGCAGCCUGCCGGGGUGCGACUGACGCUGAGGCUCGAAGGUGCGGGUAUCAAACAGGAUUAGAUACCCUUGUAGUC